UCAGGAUGAACGCUAGCUACAGGCUUAACACAUGCAAGUCGAGGGGCAGCAUCAUCAAAGCUUGCUUUGAUGGAUGGCGACCGGCGCACGGGUGAGUAACACGUAUCCAACCUGCCGACAACACUGGGAUAGCCUUUCGAAAGAAAGAUUAAUACCGGAUGGCAUAGUUUUCCCGCAUGGGAUAAUUAUUAAAGAAUUUCGGUUGUCGAUGGGGAUGUGCUCCAUUAGGCAGUUGGCGGGGUAACGGCCCACCAAACCAACGAUGGAUAGGGGUUCUGAGAGGAAGGUCCCCCACAUUGGAACUGAGACACGGUCCAAACUCCUACGGGAGGCAGCAGUGAGGAAUAUUGGUCAAUGGACGAGAGUCUGAACCAGCCAAGUAGCGUGAAGGAUGACUGCCCUAUGGGUUGUAAACUUCUUUUAUACGGGAAUAAAGUUAGCCACGUGUGGCUUUUUGUAUGUACCGUAUGAAUAAGGAUCAGCUAACUCCGUGCCAGCAGCCGCGGUAAUACGGAGGAUCCGAGCGUUAUCCGGAUUUAUUGGGUUUAAAGGGAGCGUAGGCGGGUUGUUAAGUCAGUUGUGAAAGUUUGCGGCUCAACCGUAAAAUUGCAGUUGAUACUGGCGACCUUGAGUGCAACAGAGGUAGGCGGAAUUCGUGGUGUAGCGGUGAAAUGCUUAGAUAUCACGAAGAACUCCGAUUGCGAAGGCAGCUUACUGGAUUGUAACUGACGCUGAUGCUCGAAAGUGUGGGUAUCAAACAGGAUUAGAUACCCUGGUAGUCCACACAGUAAACGAUGAAUACUCGCUGUUGGCGAUAUACGGUCAGCGGCCAAGCGAAAGCAUUAAGUAUUCCACCUGGGGAGUACGCCGGCAACGGUGAAACUCAAAGGAAUUGACGGGGGCCCGCACAAGCGGAGGAACAUGUGGUUUAAUUCGAUGAUACGCGAGGAACCUUACCCGGGCUUAAAUUGCAACUGACUGAACCGGAAACGGUUCUUUCUUCGGACAGUUGUGAAGGUGCUGCAUGGUUGUCGUCAGCUCGUGCCGUGAGGUGUCGGCUUAAGUGCCAUAACGAGCGCAACCCUUACGGGUAGUUACCAUCAGGUUAUGCUGGGGACUCUACCCGGACUGCCGUCGUAAGAUGUGAGGAAGGUGGGGAUGACGUCAAAUCAGCACGGCCCUUACGUCCGGGGCUACACACGUGUUACAAUGGGGGGUACAGAAGGCAGCUACACGGCGACGUGGUGCUAAUCCCGAAAGCCUCUCUCAGUUCGGAUUGGAGUCUGCAGCCCGACUCCAUGAAGCUGGAUUCGCUAGUAAUCGCGCAUCAGCCACGGCGCGGUGAAUACGUUCCCGGGCCUUGUACACACCGCCCGUCAAGCCAUGAAAGCCGGGGGUACCUGAAGUACGUAACCGCGAGGAGCGUCCUAGGGUA
rnacentral:rRNA from 1 species